AUUAAAAUAGUUUAAAUAAAAACAUUGAUUUGUGGUGUCAAAGAUUUACUAUUAUUUUAAUU
rnacentral:tRNA from 1 species